GAUGAAGAACGCAGCGAAAUGCGAUAAGUAAUGUGAAUUGCAGAAUUCAGUGAAUCAUCGAAUCUUUGAACGCACCUUGCGCCCUUUGGCCAUUCCGAAGGGCAUGCCUGUUUGAGUAUCAUGAACACCUCAACUCUUUAUGGUUUUCCAUGAUGAGCUUGGACUCUGGGGGUUUUGCUGGCUCACAGUCAGCUCCUCUAAAAUGAAUCAGCUUACCAGUGUUUGGUGGGUAUCAUGGGUGUGAUAACUAUCUACGCUUGUGGUUUUUCCACCAGGUAACCUUCAGCAGUGGAGGUUCGCUGGAGCUCAUAGAUGUCUCUCCUUGCCAAGGACAGAUUUUGACCAUUUGAUCUCAAAUCAGGUAGGACUACCCGCUGAACUUAAGCAUAUCAAUAAGCGGAGGA
rnacentral:misc_RNA from 1 species